rnacentral:rRNA from 1 species
GACGUAGGAGGCGAGCGUUAUCCGGAUUCACUGGGCGUAAAGCGCAUGUAGGCGGCUCGACAAGUCGUGUGUGUAAGCCCCCGGCUCAACCGGGGGAGGUCAUGCGAGACUGUCGGACUUGAGGGCAGCAGAGGAGCGUGGAACUCCCGGUGUAGCGGUGGAAUGCGUAGAGAUCGGGUGGAACACCAGUGGCGAAGGCGCCUGUCUGGCUGACAACUGACGCUGAGACUCGAAAGCAUGGGGAGCAAACAGG